rnacentral:rRNA from 1 species
CAGUAGCCACGGUAAUACGUAAGGUGCGAGCGUUGUCCGGAAUUACUGGGCGUAAAGAGCUCGUAGGCGGUUUGUCACGUCGUCUGUGAAAUCCUAGGGCUUAACCCUGGACGUGCAGGCGAUACGGGCUGACUUGAGUACUACAGGGGAGACUGGAAUUUCUGGUGUAGCGGUGGAAUGCACAGAUAUCAGAAAGAACACCGAUGGCGAAGGCAGGUCUCUGGGUAGUAACUGACGCUGAGGAGCGAAAGCAUGGGUAGCGAACAGGAUUAGAUACCCCCGUAGUCCCUGUCUCUUAUAU